rnacentral:ribozyme from 1 species
UGCCCAGCAAUUCCUAUCCCUACCUCCUCGCGGUACCGGCCGGAAACUAUGAGCAACCUUAGGGAAGAUCGGGUAACCAACCCCGGUGGAAACUUUGGUCGUAGGCUGACAGGGAAGG